GGAGAGAGAGACCGAGGGGCCCUCAGCGGGGGUGGGGGACGAGGCCGGCCCGCCGCGGGGCUGAAGGCCGUCCUCCGCCUCACCCAACCCCCGGAGGGCCCCGGGACGCGCCUCCGUGUCCCAGCGGUGCUGCAGUUUUGUUGACUAAAGAAGUAUUUCAGCCGUAAAUAGUUACCGACGGAUCUUGCUGAAAGGCAGCCUGACUAGGGCCUGUUUCCCCGGGUGCGUGGAAAGCAAGAAACUCUCGGUCAGAAGAUGGAAAGACCGAGCCUAGGCUGGGUGCUAAAAAUGUGAAUCUUCUGGCCAUAUUUAAUUGGAGAAAUAAAUAGCAAUCCCGACUGGGAAAGGAAAGUAUGUCAGUAGGGGUUGUGCAGCCUGGCGUUGGAGAGCGCCCACAGUCACACCAGCAUCACCUGCAUGUGUGGGACGAGGACUGACCGAUCCCUCCCCAUGCUCACCCCUCUGCAGGCGCCCACGUCCACGGGGCAUCCUGGCUCAUCUCUUUCUCCAGCAUCUUGGCCUGCAGCUCGAACUUCUGCGCCAGGUUCUGCAAGCUUGAGUCCAGGAUUGUCCUUCCACAGAACAACUGUGUGAUAAGAAGACCUUGGUGAAACAGCACUAAGAAAACUGCUUUGUAGCUGGUAUUUGUUAGCUGCUUUUUCAUUACUCAGUAUCUGUUGCAGUUUUCCUUAUUUAAAAAAAAA